rnacentral:rRNA from 1 species
CCUACGGGUGACAGCAGUAGGGAAUAUUGCUCAAUGGGGGAAACCCUGACGCAGCAACGCCGCGUGGAGGAUGAAGGUCUUAGGAUUGUAAACCCCUUUUGUGAGGGAAGAUAAUGACGGUUUCCAACGAUUAAGCACCUGCGAACUCCGUGCCAGCAGCCGCGGUAAUACGGAGGGUGCACGCGUUACUCGGAAUGACUGGGCGUAAAGUGUGCGCAGGCGGGCUUGUAAGACAGAUGUGAAAUCCUGUAGCUUAACGAGAGAACUGCAUUUGAAACUAUGAGUCUAGAGUGUGUGAGAGGUAGGUGGAAUUCUAGGUGUAGGAGUAAAAUCCGUAGAUAUCAAGAGGAAUACUCAUGGCGAAGGCGACCUACUGGAACAUAACUGACGCUCAUGCACGAAAGCGUGGGGAGCAAACAGGAUUAGAUACCCUAGUAGUC